CUAAUACAUGCAAGUCGAACGCUGAAACACUCUGCUUGCAGAGUGUGGAUGAGUGGCGAACGGGUGAGUAACACGUGGGGAAUCUGCCUAUAAGUGGGGGAUAACAUUCGGAAACGGAUGCUAAUACCGCAUAUAUUCAAAAACCGCAUGGUUUCUGAAAGAAAGACGGCUUUGCUGUCGCUUAUAGAUGAUCCCGCGGCGUAUUAGUUAGUUGGUGGGGUAAUGGCCUACCAAGACCAUGAUACGUAGCCGACCUGAGAGGGUGAUCGGCCACACUGGGACUGAGACACGGCCCAGACUCCUACGGGAGGCAGCAGUAGGGAAUCUUCCACAAUGGGUGCAAACCUGAUGGAGCAAUGCCUCGUGAAUGAAGAAGGUCUUCGGAUCGUAAAGUUCUGUUAUUAGAGAAGAACAAGUCAAGGAGUAACUGUCUUGACUUUGACGGUACCUAACCAGAAAGUCACGGCUAACUACGUGCCAGCAGCCGCGGUAAUACGUAGGUGACAAGCGUUGUCCGGAAUUAUUGGGCGUAAAGGGAGCGCAGGCGGUUGGAAUAGUCUGAUGUGAAAGCCCACGGCUUAACCGUGGAAGGUCAUUGGAAACUGUCCAACUUGAAUGCAGAAGAGGUAAGUGGAAUUCCAUGUGUAGCGGUGAAAUGCGCAGAGAUAUGGAGGAACACCAGUGGCGAAGGCGGC
rnacentral:rRNA from 1 species